rnacentral:misc_RNA from 1 species
GAUGAAGAACGCAGUGAAAUGCGAUAAGUAAUGUGAAUUGCAGAAUUCAGUGAAUCAUCGAAUCUUUGAACGCACCUUGCGCUCCUUGGUAUUCUGAGGAGCAUGCCUGUUUGAGUGUCAUUAAAUUCUCAACUACACUGACUUUGAAUUGGUGUGGCUUGGAUUUGGGGGGAAAAUUGUUGUGGGCUUUUUGUAUAGUCUGCUCCCCUGAAAUUGAUUAGCGGUACCUUUGUGGAACUGUCUACAGGUGUGAUAAUUAUCUACAUCUUAGACAUCUGCUGGAAUGCUGCUUUCUAAACCUUACUUGUAUUGACAAUCUUGACCUCAAAUCAGGUAGGACUACCCGCUGAACUUAAGCAUAUCAAUAAGCGGAGGA